UAUUGAUACACAACAUAAGGCGUUCGCGGUAGGCUACAAAUAAAUACGUUGCCAGGUAGAUUUAAAUGAAGAAUAGGGGACGAAACGGUUUUCGAGCGUUUUCAGAGUUAAGCGUUAACUACAGAGUUUUAAAACGUCUGCGUUGGCCGCUGUGUCCAAAAUUCAACACGUCAACUUGAGUCUACAGUUAAAUACUACAUAUAUCUGCCGUUUAUAUGGACACGGACAGUCAACAAAUUUAAGCGGCCUUAAGUUCGAUUAUUUUCUUUUAAACUGAAAACGGAGCAAAUUGACAAGCAGCAUUAUGCAAUAACUGUAUUAGGACUCAACAAAGACAGAACAAUCAUUCGUGUCGUGUAAUCGAACAAAAUAUGCUAAAUGCAUCAUACUAAACAAGUCUGACCAUGUAAGGUACAACAUUUCAGUGAUCAAACGUGCUAUGAAUCCACUGGAUGCAAUGUACAAAAUGAAAAGUAUGUGUUAUGGAUGUGUCAGCACCUCUCUGUAUGGAUGUGCAAUUAUCAUAAGCUUUAAGUGCACUAAUUUGAUUACUAAUUGAGAUGAUUCAGGUAAGGUGAAAAAUAUUAAUAUUAUUUCAGUUGUUAGUUAACACAUGGCUUGAAAAUGAAGCUUUGUCGGAAUUUAACCUUUGGAGGACUGACUUGCAGGCAAAAAAAGAAGAAGAAACAAACUUGGGAAGCAGUUUUGUGUAUUGUCGUACCAAUUAUGCCUCCCCCAGCGGGCCUCCUCACCAGAGUUGGCACUCGAAUUGGUCAUGAUUCAGUGAAGAACUUUAAAAGGAAUUAAUUCAUCGUUUGCCUACAACUUGAAUUAUAAUAGCCUAAUGGACUGAAGUCAUGAAGCAACCUUUGACGAACAUGCAACCGUUUUCGUUAUUUUAUAAACGAAGUGAGUGAAACCAGUGGCGGCUGCUCAUGGGAGUCAAGUAGUCAGACCUCCACUAAAAUGAAUCAGUUAUUUUCUUUGUCGAAGUGUUCAGUUGUGUGUGUGAAAUUUGGCAAAAUAGCGCCAUCUAACGAACAUCUUAGAAUACACUCCAAGCUGGCGCAUGAAUUUAGAAAUGAUUAGAAAAAUCAAUUUUAAUGAGUCAUUUUGAUGCUUUUAAAAAUGAUUUUAUUGACUUUGUCACAAGAAUUUAGCUUCGCCGGGAAGUGUAAUUGUACAGUCUUAUCGGGCGGUAACAGAAGGGUCUUAUAGUGACCAAUGAAUCAUAGCCCAAGGUCAGGUACAGGUACAGAGACAUCCAAUCAUAACCUCUUAUGAGUAAGUUACAUCUAAGAGCCUGUGUGCGUUGUCCAUGCCGGUGGAGGCAUGAAUUGCAGAUGUGAAGCACCUCAUGGACCUGGCUCAUAACUUGCUGACUGACUGACUGACUGACUGACAGACUCACGUUUAUCAGGCUAAAGAUUCAAGGGGGAUUAUUAGUGCUCAGCCUCCUUCCUCCUCCUCUCUCUGAAGACUUCAGGUCCUGGGGCUGGCCAGAUCUUGUCUUGCCCACCCUGCGCCCCUUGUCCGGUUCCCGAACCACUGGCCAAACCACCCCGUGAAGGAGCUGCACUGCACGGAGGUUUAAAAAUAGCCGGAUUCUGCUUCCGAGCGGGCUGGGUGACCGGAGCAGUCUGCAGCCAAGCAGGAAGAGGGAACUUUAUUCAGCAUGGCUGCGCGCAGACAGAGUGCAGAGCAGCUUCGCUACAUCGCAGCGGCGUCGCGCAGAGGCUGGGAGCCCGGCUGCACGUCAUCGCUGAGCUGAGCCACGGCGCACCGCGGCGAUACAAAAACGCAGCGCUAGCGCCGCCCGCCGCCUCGCAGGAGCUCCCGCCACCGUGAGAAAUGCAGCCACACGUUCAGAAGAGAUCGCACACGCCCCGUCAAACACGCGCGCAGCAGCAGCACCGCCGCACGCCUCGUACAGCCUGCCGCACAAACGCCUCCCUCACGCGCGCACACUUACUCUGCAUUAUGCAUUCAUACUCUCAGUCACAAUAAUGGCUGGAGACUCAGCCGCAUGCAUAAAUGCAUACAGUGGCAGUACUGGUGGGUAAUGCAGACUAAUGGCUGGAGGGGGACCAGAGAUGAAGCUCAGCAUCUUCUGCCUGCUUCUGCACACGCUGGAGGACAGAGGGAGAGAGAGAGUCAGAAAGAGAGAAUGAGAGAGAGAGAGAGAGAGCAAGGCAGGGAAUGAGAGAGAGAGAAUGAGUGUUGAGAGAGAGAGACAGAGAGUCAGAAUGAGAGAGAGAGGAGGAAUGUAUGGACUGUUCAAGUUGGUGAAGUGCCAACAGGGGUGUGUAUGUAUGUGGAUGGAGUCAGCCAGCACCCCAGAGUAUCUAGUUGCCCAAGGAACUGCAGUGCUAUGUAUAUAUGAGAAUGUGCUGUCUUUUCGAGUUGUAUAUAUGUGCAUGUAAUUGCUGUGUUUUUACAGUUUGAUGUCUGUCAAAUACAUAACAACAAAACCUUAAA